CCAUCAAAAUCAUAUUUUCUUUUUUGUUUUGCAGUCAAACUGGCAAGAUCCGGACGCUGGUGUUUCCAGUGAUGUACCUUAAUGAGAGCGUCGUUAUUGACGAGGAAUCUGCCAAGAAGCUGUAUGCGGUUGUUACCGAGGCUAAUGUGAUCGUCAACAUCCCCUUCAUAGUGAUCAGUGUAGGCAUCUUACUGGGCGUCAUCUUCAUCGUGUUCAUGUGCCGACAGCAUAUGCCACCGAGCACCGAGGCUGAGCGUCAGCCCCUGCUUUCAUCGUAAACUCCCCAGACGUCAUAAUGAACCAACAUGUGUUUAGACAUUGAGCUUGAUUUCUUUUUUUCACACGGCCAGAGUCGGUUCAAGGAGCAUCGGUGCAUGUGGCAGACGACUCAAAGUACAAAGUUUGUCUCAGGUCACCUGGCCUCGGAUCCGGAUCUUUCAAACGUGUUUUUAAUGCAUUUAAUGCUUCAGAUGAUUGAUUGAGUAUCGCACAACCAAAUAGCGCAGGAGUGUCCAAAUCAGAAAAAAUGUUUCAUUUCCUAAACUGAAUUAUAUAUCAGAAAACACUAAUAGAGACCGCAGAUGUGAUGCAACACGUUACACAUCAGUGCUCGAGAUAUUGAUGUCACCUGUACACAUCACAACGAUAUUAAUACACUUAUGCAAUUGCAAUGAGCUCAUCUGACAAAUAAACUGACAGCGGUGCCAACGCAUGCUGAUUUCAGAACUAAUGUAAGUUUUAGUCUGCUUCACGUGAAUCUGAAAAGUCAAUAAUGUGCCACACGCAUUUUAAAAUCACUAAAUCCUUUUUUAAAAUGACCAAAUAACUUGUUUUGGUGCCAUGAUGUAUUUGCGCUUGUUUUCUCCUCAGCCAUAUAAGUGAUUUUCUUAGAUGCAAACCAAGAUUUUGAUGGUACAUUGGCUCAAAAAUGUUUUUAGAGUCAGCUAAUACCACUUUUACAAUAUUUCUGAAAGAAAUGGACCAUAAUCACUAAUUUAAACUCUGUUUACAACUCUACAAUUUCUUGAAUAACCAGACACAACCUUGUUUUCAGUGUUCAGUAAAUGCAUCAUCAAGUGUUUCAUCAGUAUUACCACAGCAUUAAGAAGAUUUGUUUUCUUGAACAUUUCAGUUUCCUGAAUAUAUUUAAUGUUCAUUUUCAUGCACUGAUCGGUUUAGUUUUUGUUUAUGUUUAAUAAACCUCAUGUCCUGCAUGGUUCAUUUCAUGUUUUAUUCUUGCAGGUGUUUGGUGGCAGUUCAUGGCUGGUUUUGGUGUUUUUUAGGUCUGAAAAGGGAAGAUUUGAGGGUUGCUAAUUUUGUUUCAGUGAAGUUCAGAAUAUCACUACAGUGCGUGAUGUCUGUGGGUUUGAUCUGAAACUGGUGUGAUUUCAGUUUCACUUCAGCUUGACAGUAAAUGUACUUUUCCCAGGAUGGAAAUCGUAAUUAAAUCUCCUGAUUACGAUGAUUGUGAAAUGAUAACGUGAACUGUGUUUAUGAAUUAAGACCCAGUGUUGAUGUUAGCUGACUGUUUUAGGUUUAAAAAAAGGAAUGUUCAUGAUUGAUUCCAUUUUUUAAAUUCAUUUUUUAUGCAUUUAUUUCAUCAU